GAUGAACGCUGGCGGCGUGCCUAAUACAUGCAAGUAGAACGCUGAAGCUUGGUGCUUGCACCGAGCGGAUGAGUUGCGAACGGGUGAGUAACGCGUAGGUAACCUGCCUCUUAGCGGGGGAUAACUAUUGGAAACGAUAGCUAAUACCGCAUAAAAGUCGAUAUCGCAUGAUAUUGAUUUGAAAGGUGCAAUUGCAUCACUAAGAGAUGGACCUGCGUUGUAUUAGCUAGUUGGUGAGGUAACGGCUCACCAAGGCGACGAUACAUAGCCGACCUGAGAGGGUGAUCGGCCACACUGGGACUGAGACACGGCCCAGACUCCUACGGGAGGCAGCAGUAGGGAAUCUUCGGCAAUGGGGGCAACCCUGACCGAGCAACGCCGCGUGAGUGAAGAAGGUUUUCGGAUCGUAAAGCUCUGUUGUAAGAGAAGAACGAGUGU
rnacentral:rRNA from 1 species